UUCAUCCUUUUGGGCAUCCCUGGACUUGAGCAGUACCACGUCCGGAUCAGCAUCCCAUGCUGCUUUAUCUAUCUCAUGGCUGUCAUGGCCAAUAGUAUCCUUCUCUACCUCAUUGUGGUAGAGCACAGUCUUCAUGCACCCAUGUUCUUUUUCCUUUCCAUGCUGGCCAUUACUGAUCUCAUAUUGUCCACCACAUGUGUCCCCAAAACACUUAGCAUCUUCUGGUUUGGUCCCCAAACAGUUUCCCUGGCUGUCUCACCCAAUUAUUCUUUCUGCACUAUAGCUUUGUGUUGGACUCAGCUAUACUGCUGGCCAUGGCAUUUGACCGCUAUAUGGCAUUUGCUCACCCUUGAGAUACACUACUAUUCUGACUCCCAAAACCAUUGUCAAAAUUGCUGCGGGAAUGUUUCCGAAGUUUCUGUGUUUUUGUCCCAUGUGUUUUCCUUGUGAAUCGUUUACCCUUCUGCAGGACACAUAUCAUUUCUCACACAUACUGUGAGCACAUAGGUGUUGCCCAGCUCGCCUGUGCUGAUAUCUCCAUGAAUAUCUGGUAUGGAUUUUGUGUUGCCAUCAUGACGGUGAUGACAGACAUGAUCCUCAUUGCUGUCUCCUACACCCUCAUCCUCUGUGCUGUCUUUUGCCUCCCCUCCCAAGAUGCCCGUCAGAAGGCCCUUUGCACCUGUGGUUCCCAUGUCUGUGUUAUCCUCAUAUUCUAUAUACCAGCAUUCUUCUCCAUCCUUGCCCAUCGCUUUGGGCAUAAUGUCCCUCGUACCUUUCAUAUUAUGUUUGCCAACCUUUAUGUAAUCAUUCCACCUGCUCUCAACCCUACUGUCUACGGAAUAAAGACCAAGCAAAUCCAGAACAGAAUCCUUCUGCUCUUUCCCAAGGGGUCCCAGUGA
rnacentral:sRNA from 1 species